rnacentral:rRNA from 1 species
AGACUGCCGGUGACAAACCGGAGGAAGGUGGGGAUGACGUCAAGUCAUCAUGGCCCUUACGGCCAGGGCUACACACGUGCUACAAUGGUCGGUACAAAGGGUUGCCAAGCCGCGAGGUGGAGCUAAUCCCAUAAAACCGAUCGUAGUCCGGAUCGCAGUCUGCAACUCGACUGCGUGAAGUCGGAAUCGCUAGUAAUCGUGAAUCAGAAUGUCACGGUGAAUACGUUCCCGGGCCUUGUACACACCGCCCGUCACACCAUGGGAGUGGGUUGCUCCAGAAGUAGCUAGUCUAACCGCAAGGGGGACGGUUACCACGGAGUGAUUCAUGACUGGGGUGAAGUCGUAACAAGGUAGCCGUAGGGGAACCUGCGGCUGGA